rnacentral:ncRNA from 1 species
GAGAGUAAGAGCCAGGGCGUAAAGUGCCGGAUGAACGGGGAGUUGUCAGCCGGACGAAAGGGAAACCUGCGGUCAUGGCUUUGCAUCCCGCU